AUGUUGAAGUAUACCCCACUGUCGUCAGACAGACAGGAGUUUUAUGCAGCUUUCAUUCACUGCCCAUUUCUCGUGAAGCUCUCUCUUCCUACAUCACACUCCUCACCACUACUCUCUCUCUUUUCCUUUCUUUCUCUCUUUUCUCACUCAUCCGUGAACCACACUUUACUACUAUCUCUCCCAUUUCAUCCCUUCCAUUUCCUCAACACUGUAAAGGUGCAAGUCAUGGAAGCAGCGACAUUGUUUCAAAUCUUCACAUUUGUGAAAUAA